rnacentral:rRNA from 1 species
CCUACGGGGGGCAGCAGUCGAGAAUCAUUCACAAUGGGGGAAACCCUGAUGGUGCGACGCCGCGUGGGGGAAUGAAGGUCUUCGGAUUGUAAACCCCUGUCAUGUGGGAGCAAAUUAAAAAGAUAGUACCACAAGAGGAAGCGACGGCUAACUCUGUGCCAGCAGCCGCGGUAAUACAGAGGUCUCAAGCGUUGUUCGGAAUCACUGGGCGUAAAGGGUACGUAGGCUGUUUCGUAAGUCGUGUGUGAAAGGCGCGGGCUCAACCCGCGGACGGCACAUGAUACUGCGAGACUAGAGUAAUGGAGGGGGAACCGGAAUUCUCGGUGUAGCAGUGAAAUGCGUAGAUAUCGAGAGGAACACUCGUGGCGAAGGCGGGUUCCUGGACAUUAACUGACGCUGAGGCGCGAAGGCCAGGGGAGCGAAAGGGAUUAGAUACCCGUGUAGUC